AAUCAACGCUGGCGGCGUGCCUAACACAUGCAAGUCGAACGAAAAGUGACUUCGGUCACUGGACAGUGGCGUCCGGGUGAGUAACACGUGGGUAAUCUACCUUCGGGUGGGGAAUAACGUCUCGAAAGAGACGCUAAUACCGCAUAAUGCAGCGGCACCUUAUGGUGAAUAGUUGUUAAAGCGGGGGAUCGCAAGACCUCGCGCCUGAAGAGGAGCCUGCGGCAGAUUAGCUAGUUGGUGAGGUAAUGGCUCACCAAGGCUGCGAUCUGUAGCUGGUCUGAGAGGACGGCCAGCCACACUGGCACUGACACACGGGCCAGACUCCUACGGGAGGCAGCAGUGGGGAAUUUUGGGCAAUGGGCGCAAGCCUGACCCAGCAACGCCGCGUGAGGGAGGAAAUCCUUCGGGAUGUAAACCUCAUAAGUA
rnacentral:rRNA from 1 species